AAUUCUCAACCUUUCCAGCUUUUGCGAGCUUGGUCAGGCUUGGAUGUGGGGGUUGCGGGCUUCUCAGAAGUCGGCUCCCCUUAAAUGCAUUAGUGAAACCUUUGUUGGUCAUCUCUUGGUGUGAUAAUUAUCUACGCCAUUAGAGUGUCAGCCUCAACUCUGUUGAGAGGGUUCUGCUUCUAACCGUCCCUUUCUAGGGACAAUUUCUGACC
rnacentral:misc_RNA from 1 species